UCAGGAUGAACGCUGGCGGCGUGCCUAACACAUGCAAGUCGAGCGAUUCUCUUCGGAGAAGAGCGGCGGACGGGUGAGUAACGCGUGGGUAACCUGCCCUGUACACACGGAUAACAUACCGAAAGGUAUGCUAAUACGAGAUAAUAUACUUUUAUCGCAUGGUAGAAGUAUCAAAGCUCCGGCGGUACAGGAUGGACCCGCGUCUGAUUAGCUAGUUGGUAAGGUAACGGCUUACCAAGGCGACGAUCAGUAGCCGACCUGAGAGGGUGAUCGGCCACAUUGGAACUGAGACACGGUCCAAACUCCUACGGGAGGCAGCAGUGGGGAAUAUUGCACAAUGGGCGAAAGCCUGAUGCAGCAACGCCGCGUGAGCGAUGAAGGCCUUCGGGUCGUAAAGCUCUGUCCUCAAGGAAGAUAAUGACGGUACUUGAGGAGGAAGCCCCGGCUAACUACGUGCCAGCAGCCGCGGUAAUACGUAGGGGGCUAGCGUUAUCCGGAAUUACUGGGCGUAAAGGGUGCGUAGGUGGUUUCUUAAGUCAGAGGUGAAAGGCUACGGCUCAACCGUAGUAAGCCUUUGAAACUGGGAAACUUGAGUGCAGGAGAGGAGAGUGGAAUUCCUAGUGUAGCGGUGAAAUGCGUAGAUAUUAGGAGGAACACCAGUUGCGAAGGCGGCUCUCUGGACUGUAACUGACACUGAGGCACGAAAGCGUGGGGAGCAAACAGGAUUAGAUACCCUGGUAGUCCACGCCGUAAACGAUGAGUACUAGCUGUCGGAGGUUACCCCCUUCGGUGGCGCAGCUAACGCAUUAAGUACUCCGCCUGGGAAGUACGCUCGCAAGAGUGAAACUCAAAGGAAUUGACG
rnacentral:rRNA from 1 species